rnacentral:misc_RNA from 1 species
AUCCGAAAAUCGCCGGAUAUCGGGGGCCACAACCGAUUUACUCCUCCGCCGAUGGAAACCCCCAAACCAAAGACCGCCGCCACUUCCACCGGCGGAAUCUGUCCAUCAUACAAGAAAUACGAGAUCCGCCACAGACUCCCAAAUCCCAAAAUCGCCGCCCUCUUAGUGAUCGACAUGCAGAACUACUUCUCCUCCAUGGCCAACCCCAUCUUCCCUAAUCUCCUCACCACCAUCCGCCUUUGCCGCGCCGCCUCCAUCCCUGUCAUCUUCACUCGCCACGCCCACGCCUCUGCCUCCGACAACCCCAUCCUCAGCGAGUGGUGGAACGGCAACAUCAUCCUCGACGGAACCCCCGCCGCCGACCUCAUUUCCGCUCUCGACCGGCAGGCCGCUGACGA